rnacentral:misc_RNA from 1 species
UGACAAUGCACUGCAGAGGCGAGCUGGAAGGAAAACACGCCAGGCUUUUCUUGUGUACUCUCUCUGCUUCUCCCGGUGCACUGGGGUGGUUGUCAGGUCACGCCCCCGCCAUCAAAAGGGCCCUGAAUCACCGCCCAUGGGUGUCUCUGUGGGCGGUUCCUAAGACUAUAGACAGCAUACUGAGAGGCAUCAGUCAGGUGUGCUUCGCCGACAACCCCCUCUCCGGGCUGCUCAUCCUCCUCGGGCUCCUCCUCGGUGACGUCACAGCAGGUCUUGCGGCUCUGGCCUGCUCUCUGACGGCCAUCAUCACGGCUCUGAUAUUCAGGCAACCGGAUGCAGCCAUUUCUUCAGGGAUCACCAACUUCAGCGCCGUGUUGGUUGGCACUGUAAUCACCUCUUUGUACCCCAACGUCUGCUAUCAACCCGUGUCGGCGCCGGUUUAUGGCUAUAUGAUUGCGGGGGCUGCCUUCAGCGUGUGUCUGCUGUCAGGCCUGGCCGCCAUCUUGGCCCCGACCAAGCUGCCGCCCUUCACCCUCCCCUUCAACAUCGCCACCUGCAUCGUGUUCAUCUGCCUCCGAGGGCGCGGCCUGGUGGGGGUCCCGCCCGAUGAGGCCGCUGGGACUCCUGACGGCGACGCAGAAGUUGAAUGGGAUCAGGUCUUCGUAGGAUGGGCGAUGUCUGUCGGCCAGGUCUACGCGUUGGAGAGCCUGGUGUGUUCCUGCCUCACGCUGGUCGGGCUCUUCCUGUACUCUCCCUUGCUGGUGGUUUUCGCAAUGGGCGGCGCUCUCGUCUCCACGGUCACGGCUCUGGCGGUGUCGUCGGCUCCUUACGCUGGUGUCUACGCUGGAGUCUGGGGCUACAACGGCUUCCUGUCUGCCGGAAGUCUCGCCAUCUUCAUGGUUCCUUCGCCGAGAAUCUUCCUCCUCGCCCUCGUCAACGCCUUCUUCACCACCUUCCUCCACGCGGCUCUCGUCCCCUCGUUCGCGCAGAACCAGCUGCCGGUGUUCACCUUCCCGUUCUGCAUAAGUUCAUUGCUGUUCUUGGCCAUGGCCGGGGCGGGGGGCAUGGGCAGUGUGAGGUGGACGAGCCGACUUCCCCGAACGCCAUUUUGUGCUCCAUUUGCGGAAAACCCGGGAUGACACCAGUGCGCAGAGUCGAUGCUCUUCAUUGAUUGUAACCAUUGGAUAAGGAGGAUUUGUCCUCCCUGAAGACUGUGAGUCUCCUUACCAAGAUGAUCCUCCUUGCUACUGAAUGCUGCAUCUCGCUGUGAAAUCUCCACCACGCCGCUACUCUGGCACACGUCGGCCUUUAGGGACCAUGGAUCACCUCCAACCAUCUGUAAAAGCCUAGCAGAGCUUGCCAUCAGACACAACAUCAGUGCAUAAGACAUUGCAGGCAGCUCAAGGACGAGCUUUUUGCGUGGCCGAGCGAUGUCAACGAUACGUCAAAGACUGGAUGGUUCCCUCUUUUGCACCUCUGUCCAUGGCAGCUGCCUUCCUCCUUCAGUGGAUGCAGGUGUUCACUUUCCUUUCACUUCUGACCCUUCUGUGGUGUAAGCAAGUGUACGCCAUCACAGGAAAUUGCUGCAUAAAAAGACGUCUUAUUGGACAGCAAGAAGGCAGACAGACAGAGAGAAACGACGGUCUCGCUCGUCACCGCUCCGCCCUCGGCAUCCUGGGCACGGGUCUCUCGUGGGGUUUCA